rnacentral:lncRNA from 1 species
AUUUCAUAACUGUAUAUUUUACCACAAUAAAAAAGGUAUAAUUCAUAUGAAAACAAAAGAAGUGUUCAGUAACACUAUCUAAAAGGUUAGGAAUCAGCUCCUAAAAUAUAAACAGCAGAACGUUAUUGACCCAUUCGUACAGAUCUGCCAUUCUGAUGGACUAAAUAUCACCAUCUCUUGUUUCCUAUAUUCCAGGGUUCAUCUAUAAGCCAACGAGUCUCCAUGAGGUCAUUUAGCAUGAAGUAGGCACCGCCCUUUUUAGUCAGUUCCUCUAAGAAGGAAAAAGGAGAACAAGUAAAAAGAAAUAGGCAUUUCUAACACAACUGGAAACCAGAGCCCAUGCCAAUUAUACUUUGGCCACAACUAUCAAGGCUAUCAACAAAUUAAGUACUGAUUGCUGGGGCUGUAUGAUAAUGGUCUCCUACCAAUUUGCAUAAAGUAAGUAGGCUCUUAAGCCAGAAA